CCUACGGGAGGCAGCAGUGGGGAAUAUUGGACAAUGGGGGGAACCCUGAUCCAGCCAUGCCGCGUGUGUGAAGAAGGCCCUCGGGUUGUAAAGCACUUUCAGUGAGGAAGAACGCCUGGUGGUUAAUACCCAUCAGGAAAGACAUCACUCACAGAAGAAGCACCGGCUAACUCCGUGCCAGCAGCCGCGGUAAUACGGAGGGUGCGAGCGUUAAUCGGAAUUACUGGGCGUAAAGCGCGCGUAGGUGGCUUGAUAAGCCGGUUGUGAAAGCCCCGGGCUCAACCUGGGAACGGCAUCCGGAACGGUCGAGCGAGAGGGCAGGAGCGGAGGGUGUAAUUCCCGGGGUAGCGGUGAAAUGCGUAGAGAUCGGGAGGAAGACCAGUGGCGGAGGCGGCAUUCUGGACUGAAAGUGACCCUAGGGUGCGAGAGCGUGGGUAGCAAACAGGAUUAGCUACCCCUGUAGUC
rnacentral:rRNA from 1 species